ensembl:lncRNA
UCUCUGGUUCCUUACUGCACCGCUCAACUAGGUCAACGCAAGGUGAUCUCCGGGAGAGAGGCAGUGCUCUGAGCGCGCCACCUUUUACGUGUCGCGCCGUCGUCCCUCCUUCCCUCGCCCCGCACCCUCGCCUCGCCCUUUCGGACUGUCCGGGAACUGGUUCCCUCCAGCCGCCCUCACCUGUUCUGCCUCCCCCUGGAGGCAUAACAGUUAGAGAGAUCAGUCGUGGGAGAUUAGAUUUCUCGGCGUCAAACUUCCAUCUAGGCAACCGCCCUAGGCUGGAGCUGGCCUCUCAGUCGACCUUACCUUUGUUGGAGGGUGGUGGUGUGCGGGGGGGCAGGCGUGGAGAUUGUGAGGAACGGGAGAGGCGAGCUGAGAGAAGGGGCGAGAGGCUACAGUAACUUAGAAAAAGCAAUUGGAGGGGUCAAAGAAGGCGUAUUUGACAUUAGUGUUGCUAUAAAAACCUGUUUACUACUACUUCUCGUCCCCCGGACUUCUGUUUGGUCUGAGUGCAGCUCUCCUCUCGGAGACACUGAGUCAGUACAUUGCUGGUCUUGCCCUCUUUUGGAAAAAGAAAAUAGCCUUGAGGAUUCGUAGUCCCUAUCCAAACCUCCUGGGGCCUUUUAAACCAGGUGCCAAGCUGAAUUGUCCACCGCACCACCUUGCCCGCAGGAGGCAAGCUGUUUAGGGGAAGCAUGGCGUGUGCUGGGCGCUGACAGCGACUUCGUGUGACUCUGAAGGGCACGCUGGAAAGUUUCCUAGAUUGAAGUGAAGAAGAUUGGCCCUAAGCUAACAUCUGUUGCCAAUCUUCCUCUUUUUGCUUGAGGAAGAUUGUCCCUGAGCUAACAUCUGCACCAAUCUUCCUCUAUUUGCGUCUCCAUCACCUCCUGGCCAGCCCUCAGGAUGAAGUCCAAGUUCUCCACUAUAUGGAAGAUUAUCCCUGAGCUAACAUUUGCUGCCAAUCCUCUUCUUUUUGCUGAGGAAGGCUGGCCCUGACCUAACAUCUGUGCCCAUCUUCCUCUACUUUUUUUUUUGUAUGUGGGACGCCUGCCACAGCAUGCAUGCCAAGCGGUGCCAUGUCCACACCGGGGAUCCGAACUGGUGAACCCUGGGCCGCCAAAGCGGAACGUGCGCACUUAACCCCUGUGCCACUGGGCCGGCCCCUGCUUCCUCUCCUUGAAUGCGAAGAUUAGACGUGUGCAUUUCAUUUCUGCGUUUCUAGCAUCCAGCAUAGUUUCCUCACACAGACUGAAUGAAUGAAUAAAUGGAUAAAAGAAAAUGAUGAUCAGAAAAGUUACAUGACUGGCCCAAGGUCACAAUAAAGCCGUUGGAGGGACAGUGGCAGAGUGGCAGCCAAGGGACCGGCCCUGAGACGUGGCUGCUUUGUUUCCUGGCGAAGAGGUGUUCUAGUGGCUCUUGGCUUGAGAUGUGAGGCCUGCGCUGAAGGAGCAGGAGUCCACCAGGAAGGGCCACUUUGAGAGUGAAGCUCACCUAGGUCAGCAGCAGAAGGAGCACGGGCCACAACCAAGGUCUGCAUAACGCAACGAUGCAUCAAAUCACGAGGAGGACGGAGUGCUGCCAUCCGUGCCACCUGGCAGUUGUGUCAGCAGAGUGGAGUUUUUCAUUACGGAUUCAGCAGAAUUCAUAGGUGCUUGAGUGACAGCCUUCCUCCUGGGAGUCGGCCAUCUUGUCCAGUUCUCGUACUCCUAAGAUGCA